rnacentral:lncRNA from 1 species
GUGUAGAGUUGAACUAGAGAAAUUAUGUUAGAGGUUCGCAACUCCGCCUAUACCAUAUAUCGUGAGAGUAUAAAAUUAUAUAGAGACUUUUGAGAAAAUUUUUGAUGGAAUGGUGCGAAAGGGGAAGUGGCUUAGUGUUUGACUUAUCAACAGAUGAAAAUAUAGCAUCAGAGACCAGCAGGACCAUUGCAAUCCCUAAUUAUUU